GUUCUAAUCACGAUCCUCAUAAAGAGAUAACCGAUACUACUUUGCUCUUGUUGUGCAAACUGUCAAGGGCCAAACAAGGAGAAAACAGAAACUAAAGAGGUACCACUUCUUUCUUAGGAAGAUUUGUGUCAGUGAUGACUGAAUCAUUCCAAAAAUGCCAAUCCCUCCAGAACAAACAGUUCCUGGAGCUAAAUUACAUCACUCUGCAUGUAUGGGACACAUCUCAGAGCCCUCAUGGAAAUUUGUUCUUUGCUUCCUGCAUAUAGUGAGGUCAACCACUGGCUGGCAUGGCUGAAGUUCAAACUGGAGCCCUUGAGGAACAAGCUGAAUUCUGGAUUGACUCCUGUGAAAAAGACAGAAAAUGUGCUUUGCAGUAGGAAAAACAACAACUCAAAAACAUGAUUCUAUAAAGACACAAACCUGAAUGUAGAAAAGCUAGA